AAAUUGUUCUCUCGUAUUUGCAAGCUCUAUUGUACAUUUUACUCUUUUUGAUACUUUUGCUCUUAUUUUGUAAAUAUUCACAUUUUUCUCUCGUAUAAACACUAGCUAGAUAUAUGGUUUAAAUUCACAUUGAUCUUUUUUGAAUACUGGAAAUGCAUUCUUCAGAAAAGUACACAUGUUUGAUACCAGAGCCAGCAUGAACAUAAGUUCCCCUAGAGACAAGAAGCCAGCAGCAUUACAUGAAUUUUUUGGAACAAAAAUUAACCUUAGACAACAAGGAUUUAAGAGAAUAACCAGAUAAAACCUACAUAUAUCAAACAAAAACCAAAGCAAACAGAUCCAUCGCAUAAGGAGGAAGAAGCUAAGCGCACACUUUGAGAUGAACUUGAUAAAGAAAAACUCUAAAACUCAAUAUACUGCUCUCGCACACACCCUGACGAGCCAAGAGUAACAAAACAAAAAAAAAAACAAAUCCGGAAGGUAAAAAAAAACAUUUUACCUUAGAGCAUGUACAUCAAUGAACCCCCUCUUGGGAUUCAUAUGUAUUGUUUAUUAAUUUUAUGGUGGGGCCAUGAAUAGUGAUGAAUCCGGAUCAAUUGUAG
rnacentral:lncRNA from 1 species